AAAUAUCAUUGUUACGGUGCGCAACCCGACCCAUAAAUAUCAUUAUUGCGGCAUGCAACCCGAUCCCUAUGUAUAUUAUUUAUCAUUGUUGCGGCGUGCAACUCGAUCCAUAUCAUUUAUCACUGCUGCGACGUACAACCUGAUCCACCAAUAUCAUUCUUUCUCAUCCAAACAACAGUUACAAAUACAGGGCAAAGAAGUAAACAAACAAUGGAAGAAAAUCCCGGCAAAGGGAUAUAAUAAAGCAAUUAAAUUUCGGUAAGGGAACAAUAUCAAUAAACUCAAUAUCCCGGCAAGGAAAAAAAUCAACAACCAACAAAACUUCCCGGUAAGGGAAUAACCAAUAAGUCAUCUCUUUCUUUCGUAUCUUACUUUAUAAUUCACGUUAUCAUUCGAGCCAAUGCUCCAAAGAAUCAGAUAAUCAUAAUGUCUUUCAUAUGUUCUUUACAAUAUAUAGAAAUCCUCAAUUAAGCAUGAAAGUUUCAACAAAAUCAUGAUAAUCGCAUUUUAAGGACUCACGGUCAUGCUAGACACCAAUGUAUAAAUACUCAUCACCAUGUCUAUACACCGUACUCGAUAAUUAGCAAGUAGCAAACAAGACUCAACUCCUAUUCCCUCAAGCUAAGGUUAGACCAAACACUUACCUCGACUUCCACGGGCAAAUCAAUCCACAACAACCGCUUUCCCUCUCGAAUUUGGCUCCAACUCAGUCAAUCCACAGAGUUUUAGUGAAGAAUCGCUUCAAAAGCGCCCCAAGAGGUGUGGAGAAGAAGGAGUUAUGAAAUUUGAAGUUGGUCCCGAAUUGGUUCUGUUUUUAUGACGUAAAAAUCGCUGGGUGAAAUCACCCUACGCGUUCGCGACAGUAGGGUCGCGUUCGUGAAGAGCAGAAGUUGACAACCAUCGUGUUCGCGAGCAGAGAAAUGCGAAUGCGAAGAGGAAAAAUAAUGGGGCCCAAAGUUUGGCCUACGCGAACGCGUGAGGCCUUAUGCGAACGCGUUGAAGGGGGACCGUAGACUUACGAACGCGAGAACAGUUAUGCGAAUGCGAAGGAGGAAAAUCUAAGGCAUCGCGAACUCGAGAGAGAGGCCGCGAACACAAAGAAGAAAAUGCCUGGGCACCUAUUGCAGAAUUUCUGCAACUUUUCUAAGUUCUAAAUUUCCCGGAACACCUCCGAAACACUCCCGAGCCCUCGGGGCUCCUAACCAAACACACACACUAACUCGACGACAUCCUACGAACAUUACCGUUCGAUCAAAUCGCCAAAAUAACAUCAAAAUCAAUGUAUCAAAACUCAAAAUCACUAGGUUUUUUUUCAAACUUCAUAAACUUUCAAAUUUAUAGUUUUAAAUUUGAAACACGUCAAACGACGUCCGUUUUCAAUCAAGCUUUACAGAAAGUGCUUAAACUACAUAUAUGACCUGUACCGGGCGCCGGAACCAAAGCAUGAGCCCGAUACUAUCGUUUUCUAACAAAUUUUCAUUUCAAUUUCCUUUAUAAAUUUUAGAAAUAUAAUUUUACUCAAAAAUUCAUUUCUCGGGUUUGGGACCUCAGAAUUCGACUCCGGGCAUACACCCAAGUUUCAUAUUUUUCCACGGACCCACCGUGACCGUCAAAUCAAUGGUACGCGUCCGUUUACCCAAAACAUUGACCCAAGUCAAAUUUAUUCAUAUUAAUAUCAAGUUUUAGCAUUUUUCAUAGAAUUUCACAUUUAAACUUUCUGGCUACAUGCCUGGACUGCACACGCAAAUUGAUGCGACUAAAAAUGAGGUCUCCAAGGCCUCGAAAGCACGUAAUAAUUGAGAAAACAGGUGAAGACCACUUUGGCUCGUCACAGUCAGGCAUCGAAAAUGAUUAAGUAAAUAGCCAUUAAUCUGCCUUAGUUUGUUUCUUUUAAAUAGCAUGAAGGAGUUUAAUGAAAUAUGACAGUGUCAUUUGAAUUGAUACAAAGAUUUGGACAGAUAUGCUUUAGUUAAGUGAUAUUAAGCUUAAGAUUUUGCUUUUCCUUAGUUAGCAUUUAAUAUCAGUUUUUUAUCGCGUUUUCUUCGAUUCCUUUUGCUUUGUUCAUGAUAUUAAGCUUAUGAAGGCACACUUUUGUAAUUGUUAGUUUCAGCUCUUAUGCUCGUAUAAAGCCAAAUGUGUGAUGUGCUUGGAUUGAAGUUUUAUUGUUUUGAUUUGAGGAUGGUCAACUUCUCAUUUCCUUCUAUUCUAAUUUGCUGAACCUCACACCCUUUUUUUUUGUAGUUGUGUAAAUAUAGCCUUAAAUCUUUAGUCUAAGUAAUUCUUAAAAUUAGAUCGAGGUGUGUUGUGCCAAACAAAAAAAUAAUAAUUGUAUGGCCCUCGUUUAAUUAAUCUUGUUUUGAUCCUUAGAAUUCGAGCCGUGCCACCUAGUAGAAUUUCCAUGACCCUUGCAAAGUUGCAAACACAUAGUUGCUUUAGGCGCAUAAUUUUAAAAUUACCUUCCUAAACUCGGGUGAGCAUUUCAAUGACGCAAAUCUAAAUCUCAAUAACGUUGAAAAAAUGUGUUCGGAUUGCGGGUGCAUGUGGCGCGAUCCAAAGACAUGUUUUAGACGACAUUGAAAUAUUCCUUAAAAUAAUUAAAAGCGGUUUAAAGUUAAAAUGCACAUAGGUUCAAAUGUUUUCAAAAAUCAGAUAAUAGGCCAAUAAUAACAGUUGAGCGACCGCGCUAGAACCACGAAACUCGGGAAUACCUAACACCUUCUCCCGGGUUAACAGAAUUUCUUACCCGAAUUUCUGUGUUCGCGGACUGUAAAAUAUAGUCAGUCUUUCCUCGAUUCAGGAUUCUAAAUCGGUGGCUUGGGACACCUUAAAUUUUUUCAAGUGUCGACUCUGAACUUAAAAAAAUAAUCCCAUUUCGAUUUUCACUUUAAUUGGAAAAAAUCCCUUAUGCCCCUCCGGAGGUAAAAAGGAUGUGUGACACCCGUCCCCGUGUUAACCCCGAUUCUAGGCGUAACAUAGUACUUUCUGUCCCGGAGGAUGCCCGAGUCUUCGCUCCCUCUGUGGGGAUUGCUAGAUACCUCAUAUGCAUGGUGACCGAGGAAGACCAACCCAUGAUUAAUGCGGUGGGAGUAGCUUGCCUGUUCAACGAGGCCCGACACGCUCUGAAUCGGGAAACUUCGAGGGUCAUUGCAUUAUCUCUUUUAAACUUUGAGUUGUAGGUAACUCUAACAUUUUCUUCCUUAAUUGUAAGCAUCGGUGUUGCAGUACAAGGCUUUCCUUCGAAUCCGAAAGAAGCGCGAGGCUGAGAUUCGGGUCCUCAUUGAGAAAAGUGACACCUACAAGCUUCUCAGUGAGAAGCUUUGGGCAGAUUUAGUGACGACUCGGGAUGAAUAUGCUUAGAUGGCCGAACAUGUAUUCCAAGUGCUUCAUGAUACUGAACAAUUAUUGGAGAUAAAAACUAACGAUCUGAUUCUGCAGGUCCGACAGAAGCACAAACAGAUCAAGGACCUCUAGAAGCAAAUAGAAGCCAUACGAGCCGAGGCUGAAGAGUUCAAGAAGAAUAUGGAAAUAUUAGCCUCAAAAAAGGAGGUUGUCCAAGCAGAGUUGGAGUCGGCCUAGUCCAAGCUCCGGGCUGCAAGAGAGAAGACCUCAAUGCAGGUCAAGAAAAUCGAAGAGCUUCAGUCCCAACAGGACUCGUGUAUCUCUGAUAAGGCAAAAUUGGCCAAAGAGCUCGAGGCAGCCAUAUCUGAGGUGGCCAUGGCCAACACCAAGGCUGAUGCUAAAGUGGCCCAAUAUAAGGUCGACGUCGAGGUCAUUCGGGCGAAGGCCAAGAGCAUGGUGGAUCAUGAAAAAAUGGCAAGCUCGAAGGGAAGCCCUCGGGGAAGUUUAGUCUCAAGGCUUCGAUAUUAUGACCGAAAUCAAGAAUGCCAAAGCAGAGGAACAGGACCCGAAAGCUUGCCUUCCGUGAGGAAGACUUCGGCAACUUAAGGGAGUCCGAGGAUAGGGAGGAUACCAAGGAUGGAGUUUCCACCUUUGAUGAAGACUAGACUAGUUAGGCCUUUAUAUUUUUGCUUUCUUCCAUAUCUUUUUUGAGGCCAUUUUGGCCAUUGAAAAUUUUCGUAUUAGGCUAGCCUUUGUGAAAAAGAUUGUUUAUAUAUACAAGGCUUUCUUUCCCUACGGCUCUCAAACUUUUCCUUUGUUUUAUCUCUUGUGUUCAUAAAGAUCAGAGUGCCUUAGCACAAAAUAGCUUAAGUUGUGUAAGUUUGAAUAAGAAUUGCCUUUACUUUAUUCUGUUUUGUGGCUUUUGGGUUUGGUGUCAUCGGGUACUUUCUCCCGAGAUAUGUAAUUCAAAAUAUAGUUUGCCGAGGGUUAUACUUUAGAACCAGUUAUGGAAAUUUCGAAUGCCUAUUUUUGUUAUGGUUCUUAGACGUCUCCGAGCCGUGUUAAUAUAGACGUGGCCUUUUAAUUUCGAGUGUAUCCUAGUGGGCUUUCUUCCCCAACUUAUCCAGGAUUUCCUAAGUUGACAGUCCACAAGUGGGUAUGGUCGUGGCCUUUAAAAUUCGGGGGUUGCCUAAUAGUUCUUGCAUCCCCAAUGUUUUAAUAGUUCGAUCUGUUUUAAUUCGUUUCCAGAGAGCAGUCCCUGAGUGAGGGAGUGACCAUCCAAACUUUGGUUAUAAUAGGCUUUGAGCUCUUUUCCUUAAGAGAUUUAAGGUACAUAAUUGUAAAGUAGAAAUUAUUCUAAGACAUAAUAUGACUGCAAGGAAAGUACUUCUCUUUAUUCUUGUCAAAAAUAGUCAUACAUGCGUACAUGUUUUAUGCGAAGGUUCGAGCAAUCUAUGUGGGCACAGUUCAUUCGACCAUUUGGACCUUACAACGAAUCCCUCACAGUAUUCGAGGUUGAUUAGAAAUCUCGGAUAUUGUAAAUAUAGUCUUUGAUGCUGAUUCGUGAUCGGCUUUUGAUUCUAAGUUAGAACGGUCCAUUGUUGCCUCGUUAAAAACCUUGCCGGAAAAUCCAUUUGGAACCAAAUCGAUCCAAGUAAAAAAGAGUGCAACGCGUGCUUUCAGACCUAAUGACAUCGGGUUGUAUCUUGUCGAUCACCUGUAAGUGUUAGUCAAAAACUAAAAGGAAAUGAAAAGGGUUCGUACCUUAGCAGUAGUAUCGUUUUAGGUGAGUUACAUUCCAAUUGCUCGAUACUGGUUCCCCGUUCGACAUUCUGAUUUUAUAUGAUCCUUUCCUAGUGACCUCGAGGAUUUGGUGAGGUCCUUCCCAAUUCAGACCUACUUUUCUUUCGUUCGGAUUUCGGGUGUUGAGGGUGAAUUUCCUUAGCACUAAGUCCCCAACAUUGAAAUAUUGAAGAUUGGCUCUUUGAUUGUAGUAUCUCUGGAUCCGUUGCUUUUGAGCGGCUAGUCGGAUGAGGGUGGCUUCACACCUUUCAUCCAAUAAUUCUAGGCUCGUAUUCAUGGCCUCGUAAGUUGAUUUCUUUGUUGCAUAUCGGAACCUGACACUCGACUCUCCCACUUUUACCGAUAUUAGAGCUUCGACACUAUAAACCAACGAGAAUGGGUAGCCUCGAUACUGGAUUUUGAGGUUGUACAGUACGCCCAAAGAACUCCGGGGAGAAUUUCUUUCCACUUUCCUUUGGCAUCAAAUAGCCUCUUCUUAAGAUUUUGGAUGAUGGUUUUCUGGUUGAAUGGCCUGCCCAUUUUUUGGUUCUUUGGCACUUGUCAUAUUUUCGAACAAAAUCUUUCGUAUUAUUUUUGAUGUUGAUCCAGUAAUAGCCGGGUCUGAUUACCUUUUGAAUCAAUGAUUCGGAACUAGAAUGAGUUCAGAAAGUGCCCUCCUAAACUUCCCUCAGAACAUAUUCGGUAUCACCCAGUCCUAGAAAUAUCGCUAGCGGACCAUCAAACAUUCUUAUGAACAAGGUUUCGUCUUCGGAUAAGGUGAAUAAUACUGCCUUCUGUGCAGGGCCCUCAAUUCUUUUGGAUUUGAGGAAAGCUUUCCGGCCUUCAAAUACUCGAUGUAUUAAUUUUGCCAAUCCUCUGUCAAGCUCGUGGAGUUUAUCUUGGCAUGUGCUUCUUCGACUACUGACCUCAUAAGUUGCACGAAGGACCCCGAAUUGAGUUCGGUCUCCUCGACUGAUGACCCUAAGUUUGUGAGGGCAUCGCUCUCACUGUUCUGAUCUCGAGGCACAUGCUGCAUUCUUUGCUUUUGCUCUUCUCUAUGAUCGAAGGUUCCGUUAACCUGAUUCAUUACGAGGAGGGAGUCACAUUUGGCUUCGGUCACCUAUGCUCCCAAGACUUUGGCUAGUUUUAGAACCAUAAUCAUGGCCUAAUAUUUGGCCUCACUGUUAGUCAAUUUCAUAGUUCUAAUAGAUUGCCUAACCAUGUUGUCUGUGGGUGGUAUUAGUACAUUGCCAAGUCUGGAGUCUUUUACGUUCAAAGCACCGUUCGUAAAGAGGGUCCAGAUUUUUUAGGACAUACCUGAUCUUAUCAAUAGCCAUCUGUCGACCUCGGGUACUAGGGCCGGCGUGAAGUUAUCCACAAAGUGUGCUAAAAUUUGAGACUUGAUGGCUGUUCAAAGUCGAUAUUCAAUAUCAUACCUGCUGAUUUCUAUGGCCCAUUUGGCCAACCGCCCCGGAAGAUUGAGUUUGUGUAUAAUAUUUCGAAGGGCAUAAGUUGUUACAACACAUAUGGGGCGACAUUGAAAGUAUAGAUUUAGCUUCCUAGAGGCACUUACCUAACUUUUCUAGGUAGGAUAUCUGGUCUCGGCCUCACCUAAGGUUCGCCUAAGAUAUUAAAAAGGAAAAUGCGUACCUUUUUCUUCCCGGACCAAGACUCCACUUACUGCUAUGACACUGCCAAAUAUAAGUACAACUAUUAAUUUUUCCUUGGCGUAUGAAGCAGCGGCGGGCUCGAUAAGUAUCGUUUAAGCUCUUCCAAGGAUUAUUGGCAUUUUGGAAUCCAUAUAAAGUUAUUUUUCUUCUUCAGCAAUGAGAAAAUCGAUGACUCUUAUUGGAGGACCUCAAGAUGAAUUUCCCCAGGGCCGCUAUGUGCCCGGUUAACCUUUUUACGACAUUUAGGUUGUCUACUACCAUGAUAUAAUCGAUAGAUUUGAUCUUGUCAGGGUUGAUAUUGAUCCCUUGGUUGGAUACCAUGAACCCGAAGAAUUUACCUGAUCUGAAUCCAAAUGUAUAUUUUUUUCGGAUUCAGAUUCAUGUUGUACCUCUUUAAUAUACAGAAUGUUCCCUACAAAUGCUUCAAAUGGUCCUCUGCUCGGGCUUAACUAACAUAUCAUCAAUGUAAAAUUCCAUUGAUUUACCUAUUUUUUUAACAUCCGAUUUGCUAGGCGUUGGUAAGUGGCACUAGCAUUUUUUUGUCCAAACGGCAUUACGUUAUCUUUACACCCCAUGGUUUUGUACGUAGGAGUUCGUCUUAUGUCUACUGAUGUAAGACCAAAAAUGAGAUUAUCUAUCGAAGUAUAUAAAGUAAUUUAUCAUCUUAACUCGGGUGUUACAUAUAUUGAAGAUCAUGAACAACAAGUACAAAGAGGGUUGGAAGGUUUAGAAGCUAAGGAAUUGAAGAAAAUAAUGUUUCGUCGAAAGUUGACAAGUUGGAAAUGUGAUAACAUAUAAUUUUGGGGUAAGAAUAAGGUUCUUAAAUUGAUAAGAAGGUUAUGUUAUGAGUUACGUUAGUUAUAGGAUAAUCAUGUGUUAUGUUUGAAUUCAUAUGAGUUGUGGAACAAAAUUCGAUGAAAGUCAUCACAAGUUACAUUCAUAACUUUAACUAAAAUUUUAGGUCGAAUCUAACUGCAAUUUUCUCCCAAUAUACAUAGAGUUAUUGGAUGUUCCACCCAUCAAUUGAAUCUCUAUGAUUAUACUUUCUAGCUCAUUAAACCGUUUAUUUAUACUAUAUUGGAAUUGAGAGAUAUACACGUUUCUGCGAUACUGCGCAAACUGGUAGGUGACAAUUAGGUGCAUCACCUACUUGCCAAAAUAAGAGAUCUCAAUUAAAAGCUCCAAGGUCGGCCAAAGAGCCAUUUUAAGGGAUGAUUUACUUCAAAUAUUACACUCAUAAUAUAUCAAAAAAAUUAGAUGUACACCCCAAAAAAAUUCUCCCAAAACUUAAACACAAAACCAUAAAUAAUUUUCUCUUUUUUUUCAAGUUUUAGUUGGAGAAAAACAUAAGGUUGAAGAAUCAAGAUAGGAGCUGAGAUAUUCACCAAAUAUGGUAAGUAUACUGCCACUUCUUAUCUCAUUUUUUCUGUUGUAAAAGUAGAGAAAUUCAUUCAAUAAUUGUAAGAACUCACAGGACGGUGAUAGAAAGUUGUGAGUUCGAGUUAUUCAACUUAUAGUGGACUGUUUUGUGAGUUGUUUCAUGUUACUGUUGGGUUGUCUAUUUUGAUGUUGUUUGGUGAAGUUUUGCAGGAAAAAGGGUGUGGAAAAACAUCACAAAUGGCAGGGUGGUUGGUUGGUCGUUCGUCGGUAUAUUUUUUUUGGCUUUUUGACAUUACUUUGGUUGUCAUUUUAUAUACCAAAUGAUUAAGGUGUGUGGGUUGUUUUGUGGUAUAUUGUGAUGGAGAUAAUGUAGGAACAUAAUGCAUACAUGUUAUUAUUGUUGUUUUGUGGUUGUUGGUAUAUGGUGUAAUCACGUAAUUUUUGACCCGCGUAACUUUGAAAUGUAGUAUUUUUAAAAAAAUAUUUACUUAUUUCUAUUUUAUUAUGAUUCGGCCUAUUUUUCACUUUUAGUCUAGUAGAAUAUAAAUAUCAAAAAUACAAAAAUAUCUUAUUAUCUUUUAUCUUUCUAUUUAAGUCAAUUACUAGUAUUCUAGUAGUAUUUUGCUAUUUAUUUUUAUAUUUGGAAAUGUGAGUCACUUUUGGCUUUAACUUGUCUUAUUUUCAUUAGAAAGUCAAUUACUAGUAUUCUAGUAGUAUUUUGCUAUUUAUUUUUAUAUUUGGAAAUGUGAGUAAAUUUUAAUUUUAACUUGUCUUAUUUUAAUUAGAAGAACCCAUUUUCAGUUCAUUUUAGGAGGUCUAGCCCAUAAAAUUUGAGCCCAAAAAAUAAAAAAGGCCCAAUCUCAUGACUCAUAUACUAUUCUUCUAGAUACACGACCAAAACCCUAGACAAAAGAGGAGGAGCAUAUUUGUUUCUACCUUCUUCUUCAUGAGGAGACCAAGCUGAACACAAGUACAACCCUAGGACCACCUAGCGACGCCCUUACCACAAAACAACAACGUCCAACCAGCCCCCUAAUCGACCUUACUUCGCCGGACCACCCCAAAAUCCGUCGCUCCUCACCGUUCCAGUUCCCCUCCAUUCCCAAACCUGCUUCAAUAAACUCAACCUAUCCCAUUGUCGCUACCAUUAGUAGAACCCUAGCACAGCUGCACCAGCCGCCGACGUUCUCCUUCUCAUAGCGGUGCACCAGCUCAUCUCCUCACGUCCCCGUCUCCAGCCAACACCCCUGCUCAUUUGCGGCAGCCUAGGACUUCAUAUCUUUCCAUCCGUGAGCUUUCACCACUCAGCCACGCCGACACCUUCUGUCCACCGUCUCCCACCCGCUGCAAAAUUUCCAAAAUCCAGCGAUUUAAAUCAGCGAACUCAGAUUUUAGUUUUUUUUUGAAAUUACAGAAACAAAAUAUGUGAAAGAGAUUCCGAUUCUUCAUUUUUGUGAAUUCGGGUUUGAUUUGGUUUUGUGAUUUCUGGUUUGAUUUUGAAAACCAUGGUAUUUCCUUGAGGUUUGGAGUUUGCUGUUUUGGUUUCCGGUUUGAGUUUCGCUUUCGGUUUCAGAUUUGUCUCAUUGUUGUCUCCUUCGUUCGGAUUUUCACUUUUGGAUCGCUGUUGGUAUCCGCUCGAAAUUCAGUGUAAAUACGAUUCAAUUUUUCAAGGGAGAAUUGCUUCACGGUAAAGGUUCAUCUCUCUUCCCUUAUAAUUGUUUCAGAUGAGUUUUAAUUAAAUCUCGUGAAUAC
rnacentral:lncRNA from 1 species